AUUGACCUCGGAUCAGGUAGGGAUACCCGCUGAACUUAAGCAUAUCAAUAAGCGGAGGAAAAGAAACCAACAGGGAUUGCCUCAGUAACGGCGAGUGAAGCGGCAACAGCUCAAAUAAUCACU
rnacentral:rRNA from 1 species